rnacentral:rRNA from 1 species
GACGAACGCUGGCGGCGUGCUUAACACAUGCAAGUCGAACGGAAAGGCCCUGCUUUUGUGGGGUGCUCGAGUGGCGAACGGGUGAGUAACACGUGAGUAACCUGCCCUUGACUUUGGGAUAACUUCAGGAAACUGGGGCUAAUACCGGAUAGGAGCUCCUGCUGCAUGGUGGGGGUUGGAAAGUUUCGGCGGUUGGGGAUGGACUCGCGGCUUAUCAGCUUGUUGGUGGGGUAGUGGCUUACCAAGGCUUUGACGGGUAGCCGGCCUGAGAGAGUGACCGGCCACAUUGGGACUGAGAUACGGCCCAGACUCCUACGGGAGGCAGCAGUGGGGAAUAUUGCACAAUGGGCGGAAGCCUGAUGCAGCAACGCCGCGUGCGGGAUGACGGCCUUCGGGUUGUAAACCGCUUUCGCCUGUGACGAAGAGUGAGUGACGGUAAUGGGUAAAGAAGCACCGGCUAACUACGUG